CCCACGCCGAGUACGCCUGCUUGACGAGCCCCAGCGGGUGGUGGUCGCUGCGCUCGUAGUGGGACUGCGCCGAGGACGUCCACGUCCGCGAGGGCCCCUCGACGAAGCGGUACGUGCACCUGGAGACACGGCGGCAGGUGAGAAUGCAGGCACAGACACUGGUCGGACUGUGAGAGCGUGCUUACUUGGUUUUAGGUUCGGAUGGUGGCUCGUCGCCAACUUUUUCGUCGUAGAACAAGUAAGGCUAAAUCGGACACCGGGUGUCGAUUAGUGCCCGGAAC
rnacentral:lncRNA from 1 species